GACGAACGCUGGCGGCGUGCUUAACACAUGCAAGUCGAACGGAAAGGCCCUGCUUUUGUGGGGUGCUCGAGUGGCGAACGGGUGAGUAACACGUGAGUAACCUGCCCUUGACUUUGGGAUAACUUCAGGAAACUGGGGCUAAUACCGGAUAGGAGCUCCUGCUGCAUGGUGGGGGUUGGAAAGUUCCGGCGGUUGGGGAUGGACUCGCGGCUUAUCAGCUUGUUGGUGGGGUAGUGGCUUACCAAGGCUUUGACGGGUAGCCGGCCUGAGAGGGUGACCGGCCACAUUGGGACUGAGAUACGGCCCAGACUCCUACGGGAGGCAGCAGUGGGGAAUAUUGCACAAUGGGCGGAAGCCUGAUGCAGCAACGCCGCGUGCGGGAUGACGGCCUUCGGGUUGUAAACCGCUUCCGCCUGUGACGAAGCGUGAGUGACGGUAAUGGGUAAAGAAGCACCGGCUAACUACGUGCCAGCAGCCGCGGUGAUACGUAGGGUGCGAGCGUUGUCCGGAUUUAUUGGGCAUAAAGGGCUCGUAGGUGGUUGAUCGCGUCGGAAGUGUAAUCUUGGGGCUUAACCCUGAGCGUGCUUUCGAUACGGGUUGACUUGAGGAAGGUAGGGGAGAAUGGAAUUCCUGGUGGAGCGGUGGAAUGCGCAGAUAUCAGGAGGAACACCAGUGGCGAAGGCGGUUCUCUGGGCCUUUCCUGACGCUGAGGAGCGAAAGCGUGGGGAGCGAACAGGCUUAGAUACCCUGGUAGUCCACGCUGUAAACGGUGGGUACUAGGUGUGGGGUCCAUUCCACGGGUUCCGUGCCGUAGCUAACGCUUUAAGUACCCCGCCUGGGGAGUACGGCCGCAAGGCUAAAACUCAAAGGAAUUGACGGGGCCCCGCACAAGCGGCGGAGCAUGCGGAUUAAUUCGAUGCAACGCGUAGAACCUUACCUGGGUUUGACAUGGAUCGGGAGUGCUCAGAGAUGGGUGUGCCUCUUUUGGGGUCGGUUCACAGGUGGUGCAUGGCUGUCGUCAGCUCGUGUCGUGAGAUGUUGGGUUAAGUCCCGCAACGAGCGCAACCCUUGUUCACUGUUGCCAGCACGUUAUGGUGGGGACUCAGUGGAGACCGCCGGGGUCAACUCGGAGGAAGGUGGGGAUGACGUCAAGUCAUCAUGCCCCUUAUGUCCAGGGCUUCACGCAUGCUACAAUGGCUGGUACAGAGAGUGGCGAGCCUGUGAGGGUGAGCGAAUCUCGGAAAGCCGGUCUCAGUUCGGAUUGGGGUCUGCAACUCGACCUCAUGAAGUCGGAGUCGCUAGUAAUCGCAGAUCAGCAACGCUGCGGUGAAUACGUUCCCGGG
rnacentral:rRNA from 1 species